GGCCCGGGCAGGGCCGCUGCCAGCACCGGGCCCGGCGCAGGCCGCUGCCCGAGCCCAGCCCUCCGCGGCCAGAUUGUUCAUCGCUGUUGCCUGUGCGCAGAGACCAGCGGGAAAAUGCAUCAGCUUUUCCCCCUUUCCUGCGUGGCGGAGACAUUUGUGGCGCUUCUGAAGUGGGGAAGGCAAGCAGAGGUGUCAGCUCGCAAGAUUAGCUGUCCUCUCUUUGUUUCAAAUGCCAGAAAGUAUUUGUUAGGAAAACAGUCCUUGUGACACAGCGGCACCGAUUCCCUGCCGCCUCCUAUGAAGAGGCACUGUGGUUCUUGUCACGGCACACUUUGCGACGGAGGAGGCAAACGGAGACCCCGUGAGAAGGGAGUGGGCCAGGACGUGCGGGGAAUACGCAGCGCACACAGCGAUUGCCCGAGCUGCAGUGUAUCCGCAAUCCAGAGAUCUGAUGUCAUCGCCUCCCAGGCAGUUCUCCAGUGUGCAGGCGCAGCCAUCUGUGCAGCGGAUCAUUUGUUACCCCUGUAGGCCUCCGACACCGACCACCAACAAACCACCGGCCAGCUCCAAGCAGGGCGAGCACAAGACUUCUCACUACAGGACACCAGAAAUGCUCUAGUCAAAAAAGAGGUGCACAGAGGACAUAUGGUUCUAAGAAGUCACCUUUAGGAAGUCACAGUAAUACUUACUUGUCUGGAUGGGAACAAAGCAGUUAAGGAAACAAGUAAAGCCAGUGUUUUCCAGCAGCUCUUCUGUCCCACUUAACAGCAACAUCAGAAAAACAUUAACAGCUUCAGUGAGGAGGUGGACUGCUGUGAGCUCUAUCAAUGCUCUCAUUCUAUGCUUCUGACAUGCAUAUUGGGAAUCUGUGUUGUGACCCUUUUGAAAGCAUCAGCCCAGAAAACACUGUGUUGUUGGAACAAUCCCUCUGGUCUUAGCCUGCCUCGCCUCAUGAUACUCAAAAUGCAGUGACACAGAAGGAAGCCUACAUCAAGUCAAACAAGCAAGCAAUUAGAAACAAGCUUGCCAUUGGCAGCCAGCUGAUGGAAAAAACAAACUCCCUAACAAAACAACAAGAAAACCUCACUAUUUUAGUCACAUCCAAGCUUUCAGAGGCAGUCUGUGUGCUGACCUGUAUUUUUUUUUUCUACUUAGUUGAUACCUUUCUCUUAAAGAUGCAGUGCUACAGUUAUCAGACACUUUAGGAUGUACCACUUCCACAGCAGAAGGAACUUAACACAGGGAGUUACCUGAACACCUCACGUUCUUUAAUAUACAUUUACAAAGAACUAUUCAUUGAGAUCUAAAUGUUUAUUCUGUUCAAGUGCUGUAGGGAAGAAUCAAAAACUAUCACCCAAGGACCUAGGCCAUUAACACAGGUAUCUGUGUUUGGCAGAGUUAAUAGGCAUUAUUCUAACCUAAUCUGAACAAGGAGUCUAGUUUUUCCCAAACACAGAGCAUUGAUAGAAACUAGAAAAUGAAAAAACAUUUUUAUUUCACCCUUAUUUUCCAGUUAAGCUACAAGGAGAUUUACUCAAUCAUUUAUAGAGUGUUUCAGUGCCUGUUCAAAGUUAAGCACUUAAGCACCUCCCACUGGCCAGGGAAGGAGACCGGUCCCACAACGCCGUUAGUUAUAGCAUGAGGGAGCAGCAAAGGUGGCUGCUGCUGGGGGAAAGGUGAGCCAGGGAGGUACGAGCAAGGCAGGCAGAGAAGCAGUGCCAACUACAAGAAAGAGUCCCACAGUACCUGAGUGAGGAGAGCAGAGCAGGGCCAGCAGCAGCGAGAAGGGUGAGGCCUUGAGCAGCAGCCAUCUGCAGCAAGGAACAGGUCCGAGGGCAAAGCAGGCAGCCAGCAGGGCAGACACAGAGUCAAGGAAGCAAAAGACUAGCUCUCAUGCUUGGGAGAAGCUCCUAAGGCACAGCAGAGAAGGCUCAAGUGGAACUUUUCCCCACCUGGCUGUUUUUCAGCAGCCUGAUGGGGGUCACACAGGUGCAGCACAUCAUGGCUGAGCCAACCCCUGGGGCAGUGAGGCUGCAGAGCUGGGGGGGCACUCAAGCCCUCACAGUUACUGUCACCACCCCACUUGUCCCAGUGGUCACAAACAGCUGAGGCCCUAACCCACCCUCUUGAGACAGCAGGACUCCUCCAGCAGGAUAGUGAUGCUGACAGACUGAACAAAUGAUCAACAGAGGCAAGAAGAAUUAUAUCUGCUGCAUGGACUGCACUAUUGGAAAUGAACUCAAGGGUCUGGAUAGAAAAGAAGUGAAAUUCAGCAGAUCAGCCAGCAAUAAUGGGGGAAAGAAAAGUACUAAGGCCUUCCUCUGGUCUAAAAGGUAUGACCUAGUCAGUCUUGCUACUCUUGCAGUUUCAUAUUCUAUUAUUACCCUGAUUUUCAAGAGCAAAAAUUCUUUGUAGCUAGGAGAGUUAAUAUUAUCUGUCUUGCCAGGAUUGCAAUUGCUCUUAGGUGGAAUCCAGAGCUAUGCAUUUAGCUCCAUCAGUGAGUGACAGAAUAGUGCAGGUUAAUGCUCUGGAUGGGGAUAUUGGGGUUUGGCCCUGGAAUCCUACUGCUGUCAACUGCUGAAUCCCAAUCUGUGGAUGAUACCUUAAAGGAGUGUAUCCCAGAAAUUAGACAAGACUGGUAAAACUCUGGGUGUUGGGUGUCAAGUGAGUUCCUUGCCUAAGAGCCAGAGCAGCAUGAGAGGGAGCUGGGAAGGGCUGAGAGUGUUCAGAGUUUGGCAGAGGACGUGAUACAGGGAGGUGUGUAUGAGAAUGUGGACAUGGUGGGAAUUUUCUGGAUGUUAUUUCAGUCUUUUGGCUUGGUUCAGCACAGAAGGUGUUCCUGGCAGUGAGCUGAAGAAGGAAUUGGGCAUUGUACAAGCAAUGUAACAGCAGGCUGAUAGUGAGAAUGAAGAUGCUGUGCCUUGGAGUGAAGUCAGGUUGGGGAUUCAAUGUGUGCAAGGAGUUACAGUCCAGAGAUGGCUACUGAGUGUUUGCUGGGAAGCAGAAGGGCAUUGUAGAUCUGCAUGGUAAUGUGGAGAUGCACCCACACGGGCUAUACCUGGGCCAUGUGGGAACAGUGCCAAGUGGGGAAUGAGCUGCUUGGUGAGGACCACAAGAGCUAAAUGAGUAUUUGGAGUCAAGACCCAAAUUCCUGUAUUUUGUGUGUACACUCAUUUUGUGUUGGGCUGGAAAGAUUGGGGGAUUCAUGAAGUGAACAAGGAACUAAAAGAUCCAGGUGGAACUCCUUGAUUAGUUUCACAUGGGCAAUUCUAAGUGAACACAGAGGGCGAAGUGGGAAAAAGGAGAAGCUCUGUCAGGCAGUUCCCCAAAACACCAAACACAGAAGCAGGGAGAGGGCUGCUCGAUAGUGCUGGCAGUGUUGCAACACAGGAUCUGGAAGUCUGUGGAAUGGCCGUGGUGCUUACAUACGAAAUAAAACAAGUUCCCUCCAUAAAAGUCCUGCCUGUGCCUAUAUC